AUUGAACGCUGGCGGCAGGCCUAACACAUGCAAGUCGAAUGGUAACAGGAAACAGCUUGCUGUUUCGCUGACGAGUGGCGGACGGGUGAGUAAUGUCUGGGAAAUUGCCUGCUGGAGGGGGUUAACUACUGGAAACGGUAGCUAAUACCGCAUAACGUCGCAAGACCAAAGAGGGGGACCUUCGGGCAUCUUGCCAUCAGAUGUGCCCAGAUGGGAUUAGCUAGUAGGUGGGGUAACGGCUCACCUAGGCGACGAUCCCUAGCUGGUCUGAGAGGAUGACCAGCCACACUGGAACUGAGACACGGUCCAGACUCCGACGGGAGGCAGCAGUGGGGAAUAUUGCACAAUGGGCGCAAGCCUGAUGCAGCCAUGCCGCGUGUAUGAAGAAGGCCUUCGGGUUGUAAAGUACUUUCAGCGGGGAGGAAGGGAGUAAAGUUAAUACCUUUGCUCAUUGACGUUACCCGCAGAAGAAGCGCCGGCUAACUCCGUG
rnacentral:rRNA from 1 species